rnacentral:rRNA from 1 species
CCUACGGGGGGCAGCAGUGGGGAAUAUUGGACAAUGGGGGCAACCCUGAUCCAGCCAUGCCGCGUGUGUGAAGAAGGCCCUCGGGUUGUAAAGCACUUUCAGUGAGGAAGAACGCCUGGUGGUUAAUACCCAUCAGGAAAGACAUCACUCACAGAAGAAGCACCGGCUAACUCCGUGCCAGCAGCCGCGGUAAUACGGAGGGUGCGAGCGUUAAUCGGAAUUACUGGGCGUAAAGCGCGCGUAGGUGGCUUGAUAAGCCGGUUGUGAAAGCCCCGGGCUCAACCUGGGAACGGCAUCCGGAACUGUCAAGCUAGAGUGCAGGAGAGGAAGGUAGAAUUCCCGGUGUAGCGGUGAAAUGCGUAGAGAUCGGGAGGAAUACCAGUGGCGAAGGCGGCCUUCUGGACUGACACUGACACUGAGGUGCGAAAGCGUGGGUAGCGAACAGGAUUAGAUACCCCUGUAGUC